GAUAAAGAACGUAGCGAAAUGCGAUAAGUAAUGUGAAUUGCAGAAUUCAGUGAAUCAUCGAAUCUUUGAACGCACAUUGCGCCCCUUGGUAUUCCGAGGGGCAUGCCUGUUCGAGCGUCAUUAUAACCCCUCAAGCUCAGCUUGGUGUUGGGGCCUGCUGCACUGGCAGCCCUUAAAAUCAGUGGCGGCGCCAUCUGGCUCUAAGCGUAGUAAUUCUUCUCGCUAUGGAGUCCUGGUGGAUGCUUGCCAUCAACCCCCAAUUUUUCUAUGGUUGACCUCGGAUCAGGUAGGGAUACCCGCUGAACUUAAGCAUAUCAAUAAGCGGAGGA
rnacentral:misc_RNA from 1 species